UAGCUUGGACGGUAAAGCGUCUGCCUACAAUGCAGGAGACCCGGGUUCGAUCCCUGG
rnacentral:tRNA from 1 species